AGGACGAACGCUGGCGGCGCGCUUAACACAUGCAAGUCGAACGUGAAGCUGGAGCUUGCUCCGGUGGAAAGUGGCGAACGGGUGCGUAACACGUGAGCAACCUGCCCCGAAGACUGGGAUAACACCGGGAAACCGGUGCUAAUACCGGAUACCUUCUUCCGAUCGCAUGGUUGGAUGAAGAAAUGGAUUCCGCUUCGGGAUGGGCUCGCGGCCUAUCAGCUUGUUGGUGAGGUAACGGCCCACCAAGGCGACGACGGGUAGCUGGUCUGAGAGGACGACCAGCCACACUGGGACUGAGACACGGCCCAGACUCCUACGGGAGGCAGCAGUGGGGAAUCUUGCUCAAUGGGCGAAAGCCUGAAGCAGCGACGCCGCGUGCGGGAUGAAGGCCCUCGGGUUGUAAACCGCUUUCAGCAGGACGAAAUUGACGGUACCUGCAGAAGAAGGCCCGCAACUACGUGCCAGCAGCCGC
rnacentral:rRNA from 1 species